GAUGAACGCUGGCGGCGUGCUUAACACAUGCAAGUCGAACGUGAGAAUAGCAAUAUUUGAAAGUGGCAAACGGGUGAGUAACACGUGGGAACCUGGCCUCGAAGCGGGGGAUAACGAUUGGAAACGGUCGCUAAUUACCGCACGGUUCUGCUCUGAUGGGAAUGGAGCAGAUAAAGAUUUAUCGCUUUGAGAGGGGCCCGCGGCCGAUUAGCUAGUUGGUAAGGUAAAGGCUUACCAAGGCGAUUAUCGGUAGCUGGUCUGAGAGGACGAUCAGCCACACGGGAACUGAGACACGGUCCCGACUCCGUACGGGGGGCAGCAGUGAGGAAUAUUGGACAAUGGGCGCAAGCCUGAUCCAGCCAUGCCGCGUGAGUGACGAAGGCCUUAGGGUUGUAAAGCUCUUUUGGCGGGGACGAUAAUGACGGUACCCGCAGAAUAAGCCCCGGCUAACUUCGUG
rnacentral:rRNA from 1 species